CCUACGGGUGGCAGCAGUGAGGAAUAUUGGUCAAUGGGCUCGAGCCUGAACCAGCCAAGUAGCGUGAAGGAUGACUGCCCUACGGGUUGUAAACUUCUUUUAUAAAGGAAUAAAGUGAGGCACGUGUGCCUUUUUGUAUGUACUUUAUGAAUAAGGAUCGGCUAACUCCGUGCCAGCCGCCGCGGUAAUACGGAGGAGCCGAGCGUUAUCCGGAUUUUUUGGGUUUAAAGGGAGCGUAGAUGGGUUGUUAAGUCAGUUGUGAAAGUUUGCGGCUCAACCGUAAAAUUGCAAUUGAUACUGGCAGCCUUGAGUACAGUUGAGGUAGGCGGAAUGCGUGGUGUAGCGGUGAAAUGCUUAGAUAUCACGAAGAACUCCGAUUGCGAAGGCAGCCUACUAAACUGCAACUGACAUUGAUGCUCGAAAGUGUGGGUAUCAAACAGGAUUAGAUACCCUUGUAGUC
rnacentral:rRNA from 1 species